rnacentral:rRNA from 1 species
UACCAGCACCCCGAGUGGUCGGGACGUUUUAUUGGGCCUAAAGCAUCCGUAGCCGGUUCUACAAGUCUUCCGUUAAAUCCAACUGCUUAACAGGUGGGCUGCGGAAGAUACUAUAGAGCUAGGAGGCGGGAGAGGCAAGCGGUACUCGAUGGGGUGGGGGUAAAAUCCGUUGAUCCAUUGAAGACCACCAGUGGCGAAGGCGGCUUGCCAGAACGCGCUCGACGGUGAGGGAUGAAAGCUGGGGGAGCAAACCGG